ensembl:lncRNA
GUAAGAGUCAUUUAGCAGAUGUUCUUAUUCAGUGAGUUUUCCUGCUUAUUUGUCCUGGUCUCCCUGUGGGAAUCAAGCCCACAAAUCUGGCAUUGCAAGAAUCAUGCUAUACAAACGUAGCUACCCUUUCUCUUUUUCAUUUCUCUAACUUUCCUCUCUCUUUCUCUUUUCUAUCUUUCUCUCUCUCUGUCUUGGUCUGUCUGUUUUUCACACGUUCUGUUCUGUUUGCUGUGCAACCCAGUCAUACUAGAAAAUCAAUCAGUCUGACUACACUACGAUCUUCCUCCACGUCUGCAACUGUGACAGAAGACCUGGAAGAACCUUGUCUCUCUGUCUUCCUAUUGAAAGCAAUUCAACAAUGUUUUAAAGCUGCUCAUCAGUCUGUCUGUCCAUGGUAGACCGCCACAGGGGCCCAGUUUUUGAAAAUGUAUUUAGAUUUCACUUAUUCAACAGGAUUACUUGCAUAGCCUUUUUUUAUCAACUAGAACAGUCUGUUUCUAUGCAUGUAAUCCUAUCUGAUCCAGGGAAAUCCAGAUCUGUAACUCUAAAAGAAACUGGGCCCGGGCUUACAUUACACAUUGGUGUUUUUAGCUGUAAUUUGUAUUUCUCAUCCUGUAAUAUCUUCAUGAGAAAAAGACCAGUAUUUUAUCCCAGGUGGUUCUAGUCUUCUAUUUUGUGUUUUUUUUUUUAAGUGUAUAAUCUUAAGGAGUACUAAUUCUGUAUAUACAAAUGUUAACAGUUAACGUUUUUGAAGACACCUCGUUGUCACUAGCUAGUCAUUGUUGAAUUGCAACUGCCAUGGCCUUCCUGUCAUUCCGUCAUGAUGUCGCAAUGUUUUGCUGUUGUGUUCUGCUAGUUCCACUUCCUGUCCAGUGUAUUACCAACUCCUGUACAAAGACCUAAUAAAGAAUAUACGGUGAAUCACUGUCUGACACACCUUGUGGGGGAUUCCCACAUCCCUCUCCAAUUCAAACCCAGUAUGCUCUCUAACUCAUUCGUAGGCUCUCCUUUUCUUGUCCCUCCCUCAUCUGUGUCUCUCUCUCUCUCUCUCUCUCUCUGCCUAUUAAACCGUGAAUGGUCUCGUUUCCUCUUCCUUCCUGGUUCUCUCCCUAUUACUUUCUCUGACAUACUGUUAAUGUUUCAGCUGAUCAAUAAGCACAGCAGUCGGAAAAGGCCAGGGGAAGUGCCCCAAAUGGCACCUUAUUUCAGUGUCCGUAGGGUUCCCAUGUUAACCAACACGCUACGUUGGAAAUGAAGCUCCCC